GAGUACUAAUGUUUCUUUGUAUCGUGAAAAUUCUUCAACAUAUCUGAUACUGAAUAGAAGAAAGAAACCAUAGUAAUUUCGGACAUCUGCCUGAAUCAAGAAAUGAAACAGAAGAUGCUGAAAGUUAUCCAGGUGAUCACAGUUCCUGACAUCCAUGUUGAUUUGGGACAUGGAUAGGCUUUGAAUACUGAAAGUUCUUGUAUUGCUUCUGCUUUCUUAACCUCAGUAGUUAAUGUUUAACAGUUCUGCUGCUACCUAUAAAACAAUGCAUGGCUGAACUGACAAUGUAAAUAAUGUCAAAUAUUGAAGAUAUGUGAUGAAGAGCUCAUAAUUAGAAAAACAUUCCUUUGAAAAUUUACAUUCCAGCAUACAAAAUGAAGAUGAUGUACAAGCCAGCUUGGAAAUUAAACGUAAUUUUCCUGUACUGUGGGAUAGUCAUUCAACAGUUAGGUGUCUGUACAAAAGGGAGAGAUAUGAUUUAUAUACAUUUUCUUCAUUUUCUUCUCUAGAGUAUUCUUCAUUUUAUUAAAUGAGAUUUUCAUCAUUACGCAUUCUGAUUCCAUCAAAAAUAAAAUAUUGACAUCUUGAAUUCAGAGAUGUUAGUUAUAUGUACUGUGUUUACAGUCACUAAACUUUCUGUCUGGGCUUGGUAAAGAAUGCAUUGACACAAAUCAACAACACUUUGUGUAGAGUUUUUACAUCCAAAAGCAUUCAUAGAAUUAUAGAAUCACGAGGGUUGGAAAAGCCCUCCAAGAACAUCCAGUCCAAACGUCCAUCUAUCCCAGUAUUUCCCCACUAAACCAUGUCCAUCAGUACAUCUAAAUGUUUCUUUAACACUUGCAAGGUUGGUGACUCCACCACCUCUGUAACAGCAUGAUCCAGUGCCAGACCAUUCCUUUGGAGAAUAACUUUUUCCUAAUGUCCAACCAGAAUCUCCCCUGGCUCAUGUUUCAGCUGUCUGGCUAUCAUUUCGAGAUCCUUUUCCUCUGUGUAUCUCACCAGCCUCUCUUCCAUAAGCCUGCAAGAACGCAUGGAGUUGUUUUAAGUGCAGUACCCAGAACCUGAUCUUGUUGAAGCUCAUCCCAUAGUCCUCAGUCCCGCAAUCCGGCCUGUCCAGAUCCCUCUGUAAUGCCUUCCUACUCUCAGGCAGUUCAAUCUUCCUCUCAGCUAGGUGUCACCUGCAAACUUACUGAGGGUGCACUCUACUCUCUCAUCCAGAUCAUCAGUAAAGAUAUUAAUCAAAUUUGGCCCCAGUACUGACCUGUGAGGAACACUACUCAUUAUCAGCUGGCAGUAGAAUCACAGAAUCACAAAAUGGCCAGGGUUGGA